rnacentral:rRNA from 1 species
GGUGUUAACUAAACGGCCGCAGAAUUUUANCUGUGNUAAGGUAGCAUAAUCAUUUGUUUUUUAAUUGAAAACUAGUAUGAACGGUUUAACGAAAUAAAGCUAUCUUUUUAUUAUAUUUAAAAAUUAUUUUUAGAGUAAAAACUCUCUAAUAAAAUAAAAAGACAAAAAGACCCUAUAGAGUUUAACUUUAAAAUAUUAAAUAUAUUAUUAAGUUUAGUUGGGGCAACUAAAUGAAAAAAAAUUUCAUUAAAAUUUUAUAUAAUAAUAUUAUCAUUAUUUUAAUAAAUUAAAAUAAAUUACCUUAGGGGUAACAGCGUAAAUAUCUUAAAGAGUCCAAAUCGAAAAGAUAAAUUAC